rnacentral:rRNA from 1 species
GACGAACCGAGCGAACGUUAUUCGGAAUCACUGGGCUUAAAGGGCGCGUAGGCGGGCGAUCAAGUCAGGGGUGAAAGCCCCCAGCUCAACUGGGGAAGUGCCUCUGAUACUGGUCAUCUCGAGGGAGGUAGGGGCGUGCGGAACUUCCGGUGGAGCGGUGAAAUGCGCAGAUAUCAGGAGGAACACCGGUGGCGAAGGCGGGUCUCUGGGCCGAUACUGACGCUGAGGAGCGAAAGCGUGGGGAGCGAACAGG